AUCUGUAGCCAUAUCAUUCUAAGUGUACUCAAUUUCAUCUGAUUGUGAAAGCUAAACAGUAACAGAUCUGAUUAGUACUAGAGUGGUAGAUUAACUAGAAAAACUGGGUACUGCCUACAGGUU
rnacentral:rRNA from 1 species